UGGCGGACGGGUGAGUAAUGUCUGGGAAACUGCCCGAUGGAGGGGGAUAACUACUGGAAACGGUAGCUAAUACCGCAUAACGUCGCAAGACCAAAGAGGGGACCUUCGGGCCUCUUGCCAUCGGAUGUGCCCAGAUGGGAUUAGCUAGUAGGUGGGGUAACGGCUCACCUAGGCGACGAUCCCUAGCUGGUCUAAGAGGAUGAUCAGCCACACUGGGACUGAGACACGGCCCAG
rnacentral:rRNA from 1 species